rnacentral:rRNA from 1 species
CCCUUAGAUGUUCUGGGCCGCACGCGUGCUACACUGACCGGCGCAACAAGCUUCUUUCCUUGGCUCGAUAGGCCUGGGUAAUCUUUGAACGCCGGUCGUGAUGGGGAUAGAUCCUUGCAAUUUUUGAUCUUCAACGAGGAAUUCCUAGUAAAUGCGAGUCAUCAUCUCGCGUUGAUUACGUCCCUGCCCUUUGUACACACCGCCCGUCGCACCUACCGAUUGAAUGGUCCGGUGAAGCCUCGGGAUUGCGUAUGCUUCGCGCGGACGCGGGAACUUGGCUAAACCUUACCAUUUAGAGGAAGGUGAAGUCGUAACA